AUUCUCCUUAAUAACAGCGACGACGUUGUUUUAUGGUCUGCGAAAUUAUCGCAAGCACCAGGGAGGAUAACGUUGCGUAAGCAACGGCCCGAAGGGCGAGGCGCAGCCGAGUAAUCCUCCCGGAUGCACCA
rnacentral:sRNA from 1 species